UUGUUUUAGAGGUCUGAUGGCUAGCUGGAAUUAACCCUUUAAAUGCUAAACUAGGCCAGAGGGUAAUGCUCCAUCUGACUGGCUGCAUAACACAGGUCACUACACUCAGAGCAAAGCAAACCCAAGGCAAUACAACUUCAAUUCGUGGCUGUAUCAGCUGCAAUCUAUGCAGCUCGUUCAUCCCCUCAAUGACCCAAGGCCAGUGCCAUCACUACCAUGUCAGCUUAUUGCCCUGCCAGCACUGGAAAGGCAGAAAGCCCUGUGAGAAAUGGCUACUUGCUGGAUGCAAUGAGUGAUCAGAGGGAAAGCAGUGAGGGGAAAGGGCCUCAGAGUGCAGGGUCUGGCUCUUGAGCUACUGAAGUUAGUUUGUGUUAGAUUCCAGAACCAGCGAUGCUCCUGGCACUCCCUGCACAAAACGGGGUGUGCCUUCUCUCUCCAUGAAAACUUGGGAAUUGUGUUGUGUCAGUCUAGCACAGCCUCAAGUACCACCCAAACAGCUUCAGCUUUGUUUCUAUGCUGCUGUCCUACUAUGUGCUAUGCCCUGUAACAGCUUUACUGCACAAAGGGGCAGCAGCUUUCUUUUUCCUAAGCAAAACCACUACUUACUGCUGGCACGAACACAACCCACCACGUAUAUUAGCUACGGCGGAUUUUUUAACACAGCUGAAAGACUAACACAGUCUCACCCUUGGCCUCUUCCAGCUUUUGUCUUCCCACCUCAGUUUUGUCUACCCUGAAUUCUUUAAGACUUGCGAUACAAACGUUGCACUGAUCCAUGCGAUCAGAGGUUGCAGAUCUAGCCAGAGUUCAGUCUAUAAAGCCAGCAACUUCAUGUUUUCCCUCUGUAGGAGUAAAAUAACGUUCCCACACUCUGAUCAAAACCUUUGCUCUGCACAGAUUUAAUUCAUUACUUAUGAAUCUCUGGCCAACGCCGCUGGUCGUUUCAGUGGCUCUCUACUUGCUGUCGCCUCCCGAGGACAGGGAACCCCAGGGAACCUUCUUCUUACCAUGUAGUCAAGUAGCUUUGAAGGGAUCCUGACUAAUGGCUUCACCCACUUGCUAUGUUAACAGUCCUCUUGCAGAAAAUCACCCAGGUAGCAAUAAUGAGCUGCCCUUUACAACUGCUUUACAGAGGGUUGGUCAGGGGCCAAGAUAUUUUCCAAUGGAAACUCUUCUCCCAGGGAAUCACCCUUCAUCGUAUUUCACACGAGUGCUUUGUUUGGUUUUAGGAAACAAGAGAAGAUUUCUUUUUAAUUGUGCUAUACUUAGGUGCAGGGCAGUUUCGUGACACAAAUCACUGAGGAGUCACUGUGUGGCCUGCAGGGAUCAUUUAUGAGGCCGGAAUGGCAGCAGCUCUGCUAACACCUCAAAGGAAAGCCCAAUAUUCCAAGCUUAUGCAGGAUUGCCUGGACCACCAUGCAGGACUUGGGUAGGCGCUGCCUCUUUGCUGUGUCUGCACUGUGCCUAAGCUAUGAGACCCCACAGGUGGUAAAGGAAUACAAAACACUAAAGGUACCAGUUGAUUGCUCUUUCCGUAACC
rnacentral:lncRNA from 1 species